GAAGUCGUUGCCGAGUGGUUAGGCGAUGAACUAGAACUUCAAUGGGAUUUUCCCGCGUACGUUCGAAUCCUACCGACUACG